GAUGAAGAACGCAGCGAAAUGCGAUAAGUAAUGUGAAUUGCAGAAUUCAGUGAAUCAUCGAAUCUUUGAACGCACAUUGCGCCCGCCAGUAUUCUGGCGGGCAUGCCUGUCCGAGCGUCAUUUCAACCAUCAAGCCCCGGGCUUGUGUUGGGGACCUGCGUCCGACGCAGGCCCUGAAAACCAGUGGCGGGCUCGCUGUCCACACCGAGCGUAGUAACUAACCUCGCUAUGGAGUGGCGCUGGCGCCUGCCGUAAAACCCCCAAUUUCACAAGGUUGACCUCGGAUCAGGUAGGAAUACCCGCUGAACUUAAGCAUAUCAAUAAGCGGAGGA
rnacentral:misc_RNA from 1 species